rnacentral:rRNA from 1 species
AUGGUACUUCGUCUCAAGACGCGGGAGAGUAGGUCGCUGCCAGGU